CCGGGGGAACUGAAACAUCUAAGUACCCCGAGGAAAAGAAAUCAACCGAGAUUCCCCCAGUAGCGGCGAGCGAACGGGGAGGAGCCCAGAGCCUGAAUCAGUGUGUGUGUUAGUGGAAGCGUCUGGAAAGGCGCGCGAUACAGGGUGACAGCCCCGUACACAAAAAUGCACAUGCUGUGAGCUCGAUGAGUAGGGCGGGACACGUGGUAUCCUGUCUGAAUAUGGGGGGACCAUCCUCCAAGGCUAAAUACUCCUGACUGACCGAUAGUGAACCAGUACCGUGAGGGAAAGGCGAAAAGAACCCCGGCGAGGGGAGUGAAAAAGAACCUGAAACCGUGUACGUACAAGCAGUGGGAGCACGCUUAGGCGUGUGACUGCGUACCUUUUGUAUAAUGGGUCAGCGACUUAUAUUCUGUAGCAAGGUUAACCGAAUAGGGGAGCCGAAGGGAAACCGAGUCUUAACUGGGCGUUAAGUUGCAGGGUAUAGACCCGAAACCCGGUGAUCUAGCCAUGGGCAGGUUGAAGGUUGGGUAACACUAACUGGAGGACCGAACCGACUAAUGUUGAAAAAUUAGCGGAUGACUUGUGGCUGGGGGUGAAAGGCCAAUCAAACCGGGAGAUAGCUGGUUCUCCCCGAAAGCUAUUUAGGUAGCGCCUCGUGAAUUCAUCUCCGGGGGUAGAGCACUGUUUCGGCAAGGGGGUCAUCCCGACUUACCAACCCGAUGCAAACUGCGAAUACCGGAGAAUGUUAUCACGGGAGACACACGGCGGGUGCUAACGUCCGUCGUGAAGAGGGAAACAACCCAGACCGCCAGCUAAGGUCCCAAAGUCAUGGUUAAGUGGGAAACGAUGUGGGAAGGCCCAGACAGCCAGGAUGUUGGCUUAGAAGCAGCCAUCAUUUAAAGAAAGCGUAAUAGCUCACUGGUCGAGUCGGCCUGCGCGGAAGAUGUAACGGGGCUAAACCAUG
rnacentral:rRNA from 1 species